rnacentral:tRNA from 1 species
GGAGAGGUGUCCGAGUGGCUUAAGGUGUACGCUUGGAAAGCGUAUGUAGGUGAAAAUCUACCGGGAGUUCGAAUCUCCCCCUCUCCGCCA